AAACUUUCAACAACGGAUCUCUUGGUUCUGGCAACGAUGAAGAACGCAGCGAAAUGCGAUAAUUAAUGUGAAUUGCAGAAUUCAGUGAAUCAUCGAAUCUUUGAACGCACAUUGCGCCCCCUGGUAUUCCGGGGGGCACGCCUGUCCGAGCGCCAUUA
rnacentral:rRNA from 1 species